rnacentral:lncRNA from 1 species
ACCAAAUCAGCAUCCAAAGCAUCUAGCAUGAUCUAUAAAUAGAGAUUGAGGGAGAAAAUCCUCAUUUUACACUAACAUUUUUCCAAAGUCUCUAGCCACACACUCUCAACCUCUAGCCAACGAAAUUACCUUACCCAUAAGCUCAUAAUCAAAGCCCAACCAUCACAAACAACAAAUCAGAAGCAUCAAAGCCAAAAAAAUCAGAAAUCAAAGCUAGAAAAGGUAUGAAAUUCCCUAAUUUUGAAAUCUUUCGAUUCUAUGUUAAUUGAUGCAAUUGAUUGUUUAAAGUAGUGUAAUAGGGAGUAUAUUAAUGUUCUGGGUUGUAAAAACACAGACCCAUAACAUCAAAGUGCACGAAUUUGAAGAUUUAAGCAAGUUGAAAAAACCAAAUUCUAUUAUUUUUCACCAAAUGUCA